GCUACAUAGUCAUCCUGAAAUUUCCUUUCUUUUUUUUUUUUUUUGAGAUGGAGUCUCUCUGUCAUCCAGGAUGGAGGGAAAUGGCAUGAUUUCGGCUCACUGUAAACUCUGCCUCCGGGUUCAAGUGAUUCUCCUGCUUCAGCCUCCAGAGUAGCUGGGACUACAGGCACCCACCACCGUGCCCAGCUAAUUUUUGUAUUUUUGUAAAGAUAGGGUUUCACCAUGUUGGCCAGGCUGGUCUUGAACUCCUGACCUCAGAUGAUCCAACUGCCUUGGGCUCCCCAAAGUGCUGGGAUUACAGGCAUGAGCCAGCACGCCCAACCUGAAGCCUUGCUUUCCAAAGACACUUGAUGACAAGUAUCUACAGCAAUAGCCUUCCCGAAACACUCAACCCAAACGGGAUACUUCCCGGUGCUGUUGCAGAUGUUACCGGUUUACUGCGUUCGUGUAUCUUGUCCUUCCGUUGUGUAAUACUUACCUAAUUGGAUAUAAAAGUCUUUGAUAGGCAAUAUGAACAUUGUGUGUGUGAGUUCACUUUAGCUGUUAAUAGUGUUGUGCAUCCAGCCAGCGGCUUGUAAAUUCUCGUUGUGUUGACUUAAGGGCUUGAACAAUCACGGCGAAGCAUGUGUACGUGUGGUUUAAGCAGCAUUAAGUCUGAAAGAAAUCGCGUUCUAAA
rnacentral:lncRNA from 13 species